rnacentral:lncRNA from 1 species
CAGUUAAAUAUAUGUUAUGGGUAGGAAUUACUCUAUGACAGUAGGGCACCACAUUUCUUUAUGCUUUGUAUCUAAUGUUUAAUCCCUCUUAGCACCUACUUACCAAGAUUAAUGAAAAGUCAAGCCUUAAUUUUUUUUUCAGGACUCUCCCUAAUACUGUGGGAUCAUAGGAGAAUCCUGAGACAUACCCAGGAAACUGAAGAAGGGGAACUGAAAUGUUUGUCAAAGGAAGCCAGAAGAAUAGAUGAGAAACAAGGUCGGGGGCGGAAACAGCAAACUGUGAACCAACAUGGACCAGCUCAAGCAUAUUCAUAAACAAAUGUAUCAGAUUUACUUGAAUCAAAUGUCAACUCCAGUCAUGUCUGGAACCUCACCAUCCCAAGUAAGAUAGGAAUACAGGACUACCUAAAGUCCUAUCUCCAUGGCUCCUGAUACUGUGAGGAUAAUAAAACAUAGGUAAGAAUACUGUGUUGAGUUCUA